rnacentral:rRNA from 1 species
GGAAUCUGAUCCAGCCAUGCCGCGUGCAGGAAGACGGCCCUAUGGGUUGUAAACUGCUUUUGUAUGGGAGCAAUAAGGUCUAUGCGUAGACUGAUGAGAGUACCAUACGAAUAAGCAUCGGCUAACUCCGUGCCAGCAGCCGCGGUAAUA